rnacentral:lncRNA from 1 species
GGGACUUCUCAAGACCGUAGAAACAGGUCUUAAGGGGAAGUCGGUUGUUAACACUCCUACUCCAAAUUCUACUCCAGUUUUGGCAAUCGGGAAAAGUCGAGGGAAGAAGAGAAAGAGCUCUUCUAAGGGUACCAAGGCUCGGACCCUUGAUGGCUCUUCUUCAAGUGGAACCAAGAAAGGUUUCAUUACUCCUUCUUCUGACCCAAAAGAGGCUGAAUGCUUCUAUUGCCAUGAAAAAGCUCAUUGGAAGCGGAACUGCCCAAAAUACCAGCAAGAUGUGAAGGAUGGGAAAGUUAAACCCAACCAUGCAGGUAUUUACACUAUCAUUUCUAAUAACUCACCCCAUUCUAAUUCUUGGGUCCUUGAUACCGGGUGUGGUAUUCACAUUUGUUGUGACUUGCAGGGACUAAGAAGAAGUGAGGAUGUGGAGCAAGGAAGGAUAAACUUGAUCAUGGGGAAUAGGAAAGCUAUACCUGUUACCAAGAUUGGAGUUUAUACUUUAUCGCUAAGUAGUGGGUUUAGUUUAGAUUUGAAUAAGUGUUGUUAUUCGCCAGGAAUGGCAAGAAAUAUUAUUUCCUUUCAUGCUUUGUACAAACAAGGGUUUACCUUUUCAUUUAAUAAUGAAGUUGGUUCUAUAGAUGUUUUCUAUAAUAAUGUUUUUUAUUUUAAAGCAUUACCUUGUGAUGGUGUGUAUGAAGCUGUAUCUGUUGUAGAUAACUUAGGAAAUAAUGUUUUGUGUAUUGAUUCUACUAAUAAUAAUAACUUGGAUAAAGCAUCAUUAUGGCAUUGUCGUCUUGGACAUAUAAGCAAGAAACGCAUAGGCCAACUCCAAAAGGAUGGAGUCUUGGAGUCGUUUGACCUAAAGUCAGAUGAUAGUUGCGAAUCAUGCUUACUUGGAAAAAUGACAAAGUCACCCUUCACAGGCUCGUGUGAGAGGGGUGAAGGUUUGUUGGACCUUGUACACACGGAUGUGUGUGGACCAUUCAAACAUGCCACAAGGGAUGCUAAUCGUUAUUAUUUGACUUUUACUGAUGAUUACAGUAGAUAUGGAUAUGUCUACUUGAUCAAGCAUAAGUCAGAGACUUUCGAGAGGUUUAAGGAAUUUAAACAGGAAGUCGAGAAUCAAUUGGGCAGGAACAUUAAGAUGCUUCGAUCCGAUCGUGGUGGUGAGUAUCUUAGUUCAGAGUUCCUCGACUAUCUUAGGGAAUGUGGGAUUGUCUCACAAUUGACACCUCCCAGGACACCACAGUUGAAUGGUGUGGCUGAGAGGCGUAAUCGAACCUUGUUGGAUAUGGUUCGUUCCAUGAUGAGUCGAGCUUCGCUACCAAUCUCAUUUUGGGGGUAUGCCUUAGAGACUGCCGCCCAUAUCCUUAAUCUAGUCCCUACAAAGAAAGUUGCCAAAACUCCUCACGAGAUGUGGACUGGUAAAGUGACUAAACUAGACCACAUCAAGAUUUGGGGGUGCGAGGCUUUCGUGAGACGCGAGACUCAUGAUAAACUCGAACCCCGAAGUGAGAGGUGUAUUUUCAUCGGCUACCCACAACAAUCCUUUGGUUACCUCUUGUACAGACCUAGUGAAAAUGUGGUCUUUGUAGCUAGGAGGGCUUUCUUUAGAGAUAGAUAGUUCAUGAGCCAAGGAAACAGUGGGAGGCAAGUUGAUCUUGAAGAAAUUCAAGAGUCAAGCGGUGAAGGAACUUCAAACUCUAGCACUCAACUUGAGGAGGAAACUUCUGUUGAGCCAAUUGACAAGUCUGUACCUCUGAGGCGCUCCAAAAGGGUUAGGAAUGCUCCUGAGCAUUACUAUGGAUUCCAUAUUACUGCAGAAGGAGAUACACUUAUCAGUGAUGAGACACUGAUAGGUCUGGAUGAACCUAACAGUUACGCGGAAGCCAUGGCAGGCCCUGAGUCAGCCAAGUGGAAAGAGGCAAUGGACAGCGAAAUACAGUCCAUGUAUGACAAUCAAGUUUGGAACUUGGUUGAAAAUGUACCAGGUCGUAAGACAGUAGGGUGCAAAUGGGUCUUCAAGAAGAAGACCGACAUGGAUGGUAAAGUACACACUUAUAAGGCUAGAUGGUUGCAAAGGGCUUCUCUCAUAUUCCAACAUGGAUGGUAAAGUACACACUUUUCUCCAGUAGCCAAGAUUAAGUCUAUUCGGGUUCUGUUAGCCAUAGCUGCAUUUCAUGACUAUGAAAUAUGGCAAAUGGAUGUCAAAACCGCUUUCCUUAAUGGAAAGUUGGCUGAAGAUGUUUACAUGAGUCAGCCAGAGGGUUUUGUCAGCAACGAGUACCCUAAUAGAGUGUGUAAGCUUGAGAAAUCCAUUUAUGGAUUGAAGCAAGCACCUCGCAGAUGGAAUCUUUGCUUUGAUGAAAAGGUCAAGGAAUUUGGCUUUUCUAGGAGUGAAGAUGAAUCUUGUGUGUAUGUCAAGGCUAGUGGGAGUAUAGUUAGCUUUUUGGUAUUGUAUGUGGAUGACAUACUACUCAUAGGAAACGACAUUCCAACCCUGCAGGAAGUAAAGUCCUGGCUUGGGAAGUGUUUCGCUAUGAAGGACCUUGGUGAAGCUGCCUAUAUUCUAGGGAUAAGAAUCUUGAGAGAUCGGAGUAAAAGACUAAUUGGACUUAGUCAGAGUACCUACUUGGAUAAGGUGCUGAAGUGAUUCAGCAUGCAGGACUCCAAGAAAGGAGAGUUACCCAUCCAGAGUAACACCAUAUUGAGUAAGACACAAAGCCCUGUUGAGAUAGCAGAAAUGAGUCGAAUACCUUAUGCUUCGGCAGUAUGAUCGAUCAUGUAUGCUAUGACGUGUACUCGACCUGAUGUAGCCUUUGCCCUGAGCAUGGUUAGCAGGUAUCAGGCGAACCCUUGCAAAGCACAUUGGACUGCAGUAAAGAAUAUCCUCAAGUACCUACGGAGGACUAAGGACUGGGUCCUUACCCUCGGUGGGAGUGAUGACUUGAGAGUUGUAGGGUAUAGUGAUGCUAGCUUCCAGACUGAUAGGGAUAAUUUCCGCUCUCAGUCGGGCUGGGUCUUUACCCUAAACGGAGGAGCAAUUUCUUGGAAGAGUUCCAAGCAAGAGACAGUGGCAGAUUCUACUUGUGAAUCAGAGUAUAUUGCAGCUAGCGAAGCAGCAAAGGAGGCGAUAUGGCUGAAGAACUUCAUUGGAGACCUUGGAGUUGUACCAGCUAUUAAAGAGCCAAUGGAAAUUUUCUGUGAUAGUGAAAGUGUUGUUGCCUUAGCCAAGGAACCAAGGGAUCACGGGAGAUCCAGACACAUCGACAGAAAAUACCAUUUUAUUAGACAUCGGAUAGAAGAAGGACUCCUCAUGGCAAAGAGGGUAUCAUCGGAUGAGAAGCCAGCAGAUCCCCUCACGAAGGGACUGACUCGGGUUAAGCAUCUCCACCAUGCUCGGAGCAUAGGGCUGAAAAAAUGAUACAGAUUUAGUAGUUAGAUAACCCAGAAAUUUGUAAAGUGUAAUUGACAUUAGAUGAUGAAUAAAAGGUGUUUUAUUUAUGAGUAAAGUGUUGCUAUCUCUUGUCGAUCGUUUACUAUAUUUCUUUUGCAUGUUUUGACUUCCAGAAUAAUUUUGUUUGGUAUAACAUAUUAUUCAAACCUCCACAGUCGGUCAUAUGUCGGAAGUAGGUAUGAAUCAAGACUGUCAUGAUGGGUUGUAGAGGUCUAAGGUGUUGGACAAGGCUACAACAAUCAUGAGUGCUCAUAAGUUCUGAGCAUUGGACUCAACCCACGCUCACUGGAAUCACUUCAUGGAAUUCUAUCUCGAGUGAUCGUGAGACGGUAAUAUCAUAUAAGUCUUCAAACCUAGAGAUAUGAUUUGUUACUUACAAGUUGGUUAUGCAUUGACUGUACGAAACCGCAUUGGUAACUCGAUGUUAUAAAACGUACUUUUGUGUGUAAUUCAAUGAGUGGUAGAACAAACAUAUGAGUCGAAGUUUAUCUGUUCCUUCUUGGAUUAGAAGCUGAUAUCUGGGCCCCUCGAUGAUUUUGUUUUGACCCAUGUACCGGGCCCGGUCAGAACUAAGUUGAUGUGUUCAAUUAAGUUCUAUGUCAAACAAAUCGGAAAUCGGGAAACAAAUGCUGGACAAUAAGCAAGACAAUGUUCCAUGUAUUUGUCCGGCUGAUAUCUAGAACGGAGGAUUAUAUGAUCACUUAUCUUAAAUGGCGUACCAUCAUCUUCUCAGUUCCGAGAGACCUUGAAAGAGCUACGAUUGCCGGUCGGUUCCUGAAGUACUAGAGAUAUAGUUAUUAGACUUAUCCAAGUGGGAGACUGUUGGAUAAGGUGUCUAAGUCCAUAACUAUUUCGGGCUUGUACUUGACCCGACCCGGCAUGGUCCAUUUGGGUUGCAUGGCACCAUGCAAUUGGAUAGACUAAAUGAGAGAAAUAACACUUGGAGAUUAUUAAUAUAUUAUAAGUUCUAAUAUAUUAAUAAUAUUAUUUGAUUAGUUGAUCAAAGAAUUAAUUUGGAAUUAAUUAAGUGAUCAAAGGAUAACUAAUUAAAUAUAUGGGUUGAUUAUGUAAAUCAUCCAUAUCUUGUAUAGUGGGCUAAGAGGCUCCAUGGAUUAUCAAGUUGGGUUCUACCCAUAGGAUGCUCCAUGGAUGCUCCAUGGGAGUUACAAACCCAUGGGUCAUGGAAAUGAAGAGUCAUGACACAUUAGGGUUUACAUGGUGUAACCCUAGAUGUGUCAACACUAUAUAAGAAUCAUAUUCUCCACCAAAAUCGGCUACACUAAGAAACUAGAGGGCUUGGCCGAUUUUGAGAAGUGUGUGUUAUCUCAAGAGUCUUUCCAAGAGCAUUUGGUGUUGUGUGAAGCAUUUGAGGCAUCACACUUGGGGUGCUAGGCUCACAAGGUUUCAAGGAACACAAGCAACAACAAGGUAAGUUAUUCUAUCUAUGAUUCAAGUUAAAAUUGUUCCCCAUGUAUGCUAGAUAGGAAUAUAACCUUGGAAUUCAACUUUGCAUGAUAAUUAGACAAACAUAGAUCCAAGGUUAUUAGGGUUGCAUGUACACUUAGGAAGUGUUAGAAUGCUCAAAACCCAUCAGUGGUAUCAGAGCCUAGGCUUGUUUGUUUGUUAUUUGUGCUUAAAAGUUGAAGAAAGUCGAAAAUCUUGCUGUCUGACUGAUGGACUCGGCGAGUCCAUGGGGAGGACUCGUCGAGUUCAUGUGUAUCUUCAACCUACUCGGCGAGUAGGUUUAUGCACUCGGCGAGUAGGGUCGACAGAGUGCAGAAUUUCGACUUGAGUUGCUGGAAAUGGAUUAGAAUCAUUACCCUAAAAUGUUUUGGUACUUGAAAACUUAUUUUAGAAGGUGUAAUGUCUUUUCUAACUCAUUUACAACAACUAGUUAUCAAAAUUACAAAGAUUAAAUGUGAUUUUGAUUCUUGAAAGUGUUCAUAUUCAUAUUCUUGUUCUUAUGAUGUUUAGAUGAUCAUAGGAAUUAUUUGUAACCUAUGUGGUAGAUUAAUUCAUGAUCAUAAUGUGUUUUAAUGGAGUCCAUAACUUGUCCUCAAGUUAUGGAAAACCAAAAGUCUCUUGGAUUAAAAACCAUUAAAAGAACACAAGAGUUAGGAAAAAUGAAAAGUCCUCAUUUUAUUACUCUAUUAAACUCAUAAGUUACAAGAAAUGAAAAGUUUUGAAAGUUUACAAAACUUGCCCUCAAGUUUUGGAACAAGUAAAGUUAAGUUAAAACUUUAGUUCCAACCCCUAGAAUUUUAAAAGUUAAAAUUCAACCCUUAUACUUAUAUUAUUAUGAUUUAAUAAUUAUAUAUAUAUGUAUAAGAACAAAGUCGUCUUACCGCUAGUACGCCUCAUUCACGAAGCCGGUCUAUAAGGUGGGUAUAAGGUUGUUGCCUAUAAAAUGGUGACUUAAUGGGUGUCCACUCUCACCCACCGCUUGCUUGAUCGGUGGAGGGUCGUUAGCCGAACGGGUAAGACAAGGACUUAUUAAUUCUCAUUCAAAGUAUGAUGAAUAUUAUAAAGUAACUAAAUGUUUUAUUAAAUUCCCAAUCUUAGUUACUUUAGGAAAAAUGUGAAUAAGGUGCUAUUCCAUGAAAUUACACUUUACACUUUGAUUAAGUCGUUGGUGGAGCGUGUGUGGUUAACCGGCACACUAACUUGGACUUAACAAGGUAGGUAAAGGGUGACUUAGGGUUUAUUAUAGUAUCGAUGGAGCGUGUGUGGUUAACCGGCACAUCGAUUGAGUGAUAAACUUUAAGGGUACCAAGUGAUUUGCAUGGUUACUUCACACCUCGUUUUGUGAUCCUCGGUAUCCCAGUCACAAAACUUGGAGGGCACACUCGAGAUUGAAACAUGCCUUUGAAAAGUUCAUUGAAUCUCAAAGAAUCUAGGAAUUUCUAAGAACCAUUCAAAAACCUAAUACUAAAAUAUUGCGGUUUUCGUGGUGGAAAUUGGUGAAUCGUCAUUCACCUACCUUUCAAAUAUGAUAUAGCUUAGAUUACGGCAUACCUCUUCUAAGUUAUAUUAUAUUGUGAUUGGAUCCUAGCCUUAAUAUUACAUUUGGGUGUUUUAUUAAGGACUCUCUUAUAUCUAAACUAAUCUUGUCCUCUUUCCUUCAGAUGUCUUUCAACAAUGCUUCUGGCUCUAAUCCUAAUGGCUCCUUUACCCUUAUGAACUUGUGUGGGAAAGUCACCUUUGAUGGAUCCAACUUCAAUGAGUGGAUCAGAAACAUCAGGAUGAUUACCCGCUACGAGGACAAAGAAUAUGUCCUUGACAAGGAGCUUAAGGAGAUUGAUGAGUCCACUGCAACUCCUCAGGAGAUCGCUGAAUUUCGGGCACAUGAAAGGGAUGCUACGAAAGUGGCUUGCAUCAUGAUGGCCACGAUGACAGCGGAACUCCAAAAGUCUUAUGAGGAUUUCUACCCUUAUGAAAUGCACCAAGAUUUGAUGGAAAGAUACCAUCAAAGUGCAAGACAAGAGAGGUAUGAAAUCAUCUGCUCCAUGAUAACAACCAUGAUGAAGGACGGGGAAUCCGUCACGAGCCACAUGCAGAAAAUGCAAAGGUAUGUGGAUCGUUUGCUGAAGCUUAAUGUGAACUUCCCGGAGGAUCUUGCAAUAGAUAUUAUUUUGCAUUCCUUACCAUCGUGCUAUGAUCAAUUCCGCAUGACAUAUCACAUGAACAAGGAAGAAGUCACCCUCAGCAAACUUCAGGGACUUCUCAAGACCGCAGAAUCAGGUCUUAAGGGGAAGUCGGUUGCUAUCACUCCUACUCAAAACUCUACUCCGGUUUUGGCAAUCGGGAAAAGUCGAGGGAGGAAGAGAAAGAGCUCUUCUAAGGGUACCAAGGUUCGGACCCUUGAUGGCUCUUCUUCAAGUGGAACCAAGAAAGGUUUCAUUACUCCUUCUUCUGACCCAAAAGAGGCUGAAUGCUUCUAUUGCCAUGAAAAAGCUCAUUGGAAGCGGAACUGCCCAAAAUACCAGCAAGAUGUGAAGGAUGGGAAAGUUAAACCCAACCAUGCAGGUAUUUACACUAUCAUUUCUAAUAACUCACCCCAUUCUAAUUCUUGGGUCCUUGAUACCGGGUGUGGUAUUCACAUUUGUUGUGACUUGCAGGGACUAAGAAGAAGUGAGGAUGUGGAGCAAGGAAGGAUAAACUUGAUCAUGGGGAAUAGGAAAGCUAUACCUGUUACCAAGAUUGGAGUUUAUACUUUAUCGCUAAGUAGUGGGUUUAGUUUAGAUUUGAAUAAGUGUUGUUAUUCGCCAGGAAUGGCAAGAAAUAUUAUUUCCUUUCAUGCUUUGUACAAACAAGGGUUUACCUUUUCAUUUAAUAAUGAAGUUGGUUCUAUAGAUGUUUUCUAUAAUAAUGUCUUUUAUUUUAAAGCAUUACCUUGUGAUGGUGUGUAUGAAGCUGUAUCUGUUGUAGAUAACUUGGGAAAUAAUGUUUUGUGUAUUGAUUCUACUAAUAAUAACUUGGAUAAAGCAUCUUUAUGGCAUUGUCGUCUUGGACAUAUAAGCAAGAAACGCAUAGGCCAACUCCAAAAGGAUGGAGUCUUGGAGUCGUUUGACCUAAAGUCAGAUGAUAGUUGCGAAUCAUGCUUACUUGGAAAAAUGACAAAGUCACCCUUCACAGGUUCGUGUGAGAGGGGUGAAGGUUUGUUGGACCUUAUACACACGGAUGUGUGUGGACCAUUCAAACAUGCCACAAGGGAUGCUAAUCGUUAUUAUUUGACUUUUACUGAUGAUUAUAGUAGAUAUGGAUAUGUCUACUUGAUCAAGCAUAAGUCAGAGACUUUCGAGAGGUUUAAGGAAUUUAAACAGGAAGUCGAGAAUCAAUUGGGCAGGAACAUUAAGAUGCUUCGAUCCGAUCGUGGUGGUGAGUAUCUUAGUUCAGAGUUCCUCGACUAUCUAAGGGAAUGUGGGAUAGUCUCACAAUUGACACCUCCCAGGACACCACAGUUGAAUGGUGUGGCUGAGAGGCGUAAUCGAACCUUGUUAGAUAUGGUUCGUUCCAUGAUGAGUCGAGCUACGCUACCAAUCUCAUUCUGGGGGUAUGCCUUAGAGACUGCCGCCCAUAUUCUUAAUCUAGUCCCUACAAAGAAAGUUGCCAAAACUCCUCACGAGAUGUGGACUGGUAAAGUACCUAAACUAGACCACAUCAAGAUUUGGGGUUGCGAGGCUUUCGUGAGACGCGAGACUCAUGAUAAGCUCGAACCUCGAAGCGAGAGGUGUAUUUUCAUCGGUUACCCACAGCGAUCCUUUGGUUACCUCUUCUACAGACCUAGUGACAAUGUGGUCUUUGUAGCAAGAAGAGGAGUCUUUCGAGAAAGAGAGUUUAUAAGCCAAGGAGACAGUGGGAGGCAAAUUGAUCUUGAAGAAAUUCAAGAAUCAAGCGGUGAAGGAACUUCAAACUCUAGCCCUCAACUUGAGGAGGAAACUCCUGUUGAGCCAAUUGACAAAUCUGUACCUCUGAGACGUUCCACGAGAGUUAGGAGUGCACCUGAGCAUUACUAUGGAUUCCAUAUUACUGCAGAAGGUGAGACACUUAUUAGUGAUGAGACACUAGUAAGUCAAGAUGACCCUAACAGCUACGAGGAAGCCAUGGCAGGCCCCGAGUCUGCUAAAUGGAAAGAGGCUAUGGAUAGCGAGAUACAAUCCAUGUAUGACAAUCAAGUUUGGAACUUGGUUGAAAAUGUACCAGGUCGUAAGACAGUAGGGUGCAAAUGGGUCUUCAAGAAGAAGACCGACAUGGAUGGUAAAGUACACACUUAUAAGGCUAGACUGGUUGCAAAGGGCUUCUCUCAAAUUCCUGGAGUGGAUUAUGAUGAGACCUUUUCUCCGGUAGCCAAGAUUAAGUCUAUUCGGGUUCUGUUAGCCAUAGCUGCAUUUCAUGACUAUGAAAUAUGGCAGAUGGAUGUCAAAACCGCUUUCCUUAAUGGAAAGUUGGCUGAAGAUGUUUACAUGAGUCAGCCAGAGGGUUUUGUCAGCAACGAGUACCCUAAUAGAGUGUGUAAGCUUGAGAAAUCCAUUUAUGGAUUGAAGCAAGCACCUCGCAGAUGGAAUCUUUGCUUUGAUGAAAAGGUCAAGGAAUUUGGCUUUUCUAGGAGUGAAGAUGAAUCUUGUGUGUAUGUCAAGGCUAGUGGGAGUAUAGUUAGCUUUUUGGUAUUGUAUGUGGAUGACAUACUACUCAUAGGAAACGACAUUCCAACCCUGCAGGAAGUAAAGUCCUGGCUUGGGAAGUGUUUCGCUAUGAAGGACCUUGGUGAAGCUGCCUAUAUUCUAGGGAUAAGAAUCUUGAGAGAUCGGAGUAAAAGACUAAUUGGACUUAGUCAGAGUACCUACUUGGAUAAGGUGCUGAAGAGAUUCAGCAUGCAGGAUUCCAAGAAAGGAGAGUUACCCAUCCAGAGUAACACCAGAUUGAGUAAGACACAAAGCCCUAGCACUGAGGCUGAGAUAGCAGAAAUGAGUCGAACACCUUACGCUUCGGCUGUAGGAUCGAUCAUGUAUGCUAUGACGUGUACUCGACCCGAUGUAGCUUUUGCCUUGAGCAUGGUUAGCAGGUAUCAGGCGAACCCUGGCAAGGCACACUGGACUGCGGUAAAGAAUAUCCUCAAGUACCUACGGAGGACUAAGGACUGGGUCCUUACCCUCGGUGGGAGUGAUGACUUGAGAGUUGUAGGGUAUAGUGAUGCUAGCUUCCAGACUGAUAGGGAUAAUUUCCGCUCUCAGUCGGGCUGGGUCUUUACCCUAAACGGAGGAGCAAUUUCUUGGAAGAGUUCCAAGCAAGAGACAGUGGCAGAUUCUACUUGUGAAUCAGAGUAUAUUGCAGCUAGCGAAGCAGCAAAGGAGGCGAUAUGGCUGAAGAACUUCAUUGGAGACCUUGGAGUUGUACCAGCUAUUAAAGAGCCAAUGGAAAUUUUCUGUGAUAGUGAAAGUGCUGUUGCCUUAGCCAAGGAACCAAGGGAUCAUGGGAGAUCCAGACACAUCGACAGAAAAUACCAUUUCAUUAGACAUCGGAUCGAAGAAGGACUCCUCGUGGCAAAGAGGGUAUCAUCGGAUGAGAACCCAGCAGAUCCCCUCACGAAGGGACUGAGUAGGGUUAAGCAUCUCCAGCAUGCUCGGAGCAUAGGGCUGAAGGAUGAUAUAAGUUUUAGUAGUUAGAUAACCCAGAAAUUUGUAAAGUGUAAUUGACAUUUGAUGAUGAAUAAAAGGUGUUUUAUUUAUGAGUAAAGUGUUGCUAUCUCUUGUCAAUCGUUUACUAUAUUUCUUUUGCAUGUUUUGACUUCCAGAAUAAUUUUGUUUGGUGUAACAUAUUAUUCAAACCUCCACAGUCGGUCAUAUGUCGGAAGUAGGUAUGAAUCAAGACUGUCAUGAUGGGUUGUAGAGGUCUAAGGUGUUGGACAAGGCUACAACAAUCAUGAGUGCUCAUAAGUUCUGAGCAUUGGACUCAACCCACGCUCACUGGAAUCACUUCAUGGAAUUCUAUCUCGAGUGAUCGUGAGACGGUAAUAUCAUAUAAGUCUUCAAACCUAGAGAUAUGAUUUGUUACUUACAAGUUGGUUAUGCAUUGACUGUACGAAACCGCAUUGGUAACUCGAUGUUAUAAAACGUACUUUUGUGUGUAAUUCAAUGAGUGGUAGAACAAACAUAUGAGUCGAAGUUUAUCUGUUCCUUCUUGGAUUAGAAGCUGAUAUCUGGGCCCCUCGAUGAUUUUGUUUUGACCCAUGUACCGGGCCCGGUCAGAACUAAGUUGAUGUGUUCAAUUAAGUUCUAUGUCAAACAAAUCGGAAAUCGGGAAACAAAUGCUGGACAAUAAGCAAGACAAUGUUCCAUGUAUUUGUCCGGCUGAUAUCUAGAACGGAGGAUUAUAUGAUCACUUAUCUUAAAUGGCGUACCAUCAUCUUCUCAGUUCCGAGAGACCUUGAAAGAGCUACGAUUGCCGGUCGGUUCCUGAAGUACUAGAGAUAUAGUUAUUAGACUUAUCCAAGUGGGAGACUGUUGGAUAAGGUGUCUAAGUCCAUAACUAUUUCGGGCUUGUACUUGACCCGACCCGGCAUGGUCCAUUUGGGUUGCAUGGCACCAUGCAAUUGGAUAGACUAAAUGAGAGAAAUAACACUUGGAGAUUAUUAAUAUAUUAUAAGUUCUAAUAUAUUAAUAAUAUUAUUUGAUUAGUUUGAUCAAAGAAUGAAUUUGGAAUUAAUUAAGUGAUCAAAAGAUAACUAAUUAAAUAUAUGGGUUGAUUAUGUAAAUCAUUCAUAUCUUGUAUAGUGGACUAAGAGGCUCCAUGGAUUAUCAAGUUAGGUUCUACCCAUAGGAUGCUCCCUGGANGGAUGCUCCAUGGAUGCUCCAUGGGAGUUACAAACCCAUGGGUCAUGGAAAUGAAGAGUCAUGACACAUUAGGGUUUACAUGGUGUAACCCUAGAUGUGUCAACACUAUAUAAGAGUCCCAUUCUCCACCAAAAUCGGCUACACAUAAGAAACAAGAGGGCUAGGCUGAUUUCAAGAAGUGUGUAUUCUCUCAAAAGUCUUUCCAAGAGCAUUUGGUGUUGUGUGAAGCAUUUGAGGCAUCACACUUAGGGUGCUAGGCUCACAAGGUUUCAAGGAACAUAAGCAACAACAAGGUAAGUUAUUCUAUCUUUCAUUCAAGUUAGAAAUUGUUCCCCAUGUAUGCUAGAUAGGAAUAUAACCUUGGAAUUCAACUUUGCAUGAUAAUUAGACAAACAUAGAUCCAAGGUUAUUAGGGUUGCAUGUACACUUAGGAAGUGUUAGAAUGCUCAAAACCCAUCACUAAAAACCUACCAAGGAAUGAUUGGGUCGUUAAUGUACCUCACCGCAAGUCGACCGGAUAUUAUCAAUACAACAAGAUUAUGUGCUCAGUACCAAGAUGACCCUAAAGUAUCUCACUUGACCGCAGUUAAGAAAAUUCUUAGAUAUCUAAAGCGAAGUAAAGUGUUAGGCCUCUGGUACCCUACAUGCAAUGACUUCAACCUUCAAGCGUUCACAGAUGCAGAUCAUGCAUGAUGUAGAUUAGAUCAUGCAAGUCCUUCGGGUGGAUGCCAAUUCUUAGGAGGAAGACUAGUCAGCUGGUCUUCAAGGAAGCAAAAUUGUGUUUCUUUGACUACCGUAGAGGAGGAAUAUGUGGCUACAGCCAACUGCUGUUCCCAAGUUCUUUGUAUGUAGACUCAAAUUAUGGACUACAGUUACGGAAUCAUGUAUGUGCCAAUUUAAUGUGAUUCAGAGAGUGCUAUAGUGAUAUUUUAUAAUCCUAUUCACCACUCUAAGACGAACCACAUUGAGCUACGGUACCACUUCAUCAAGGACCAGAUCCUCAAAGGUAACAUCGAACUCUUAUUUGUUCCCACUCACAAAGAAAUAACUAAUGUUUUUACUAAGGCACUUAAUGCUCCAAAAUUAAAUGGCUUUUCUGGAAAUUAUAGGAAUGAUGAACCUAGACGCGCAAUUCUUCUUGAAUUUAUAGCUACCACAUACCACAUUUGGUCUCCAAGCGUGAAGGAAUUUCUUCUUUUCUUUUCAAAUUAAAAACUUUUGAAGCACUCUCUUCCCUACGGUUCUAGAAUAAUAUAUUUAUCAUAUUUUUCAGUAUACAUAGUAUACCGUAAUCACUUAUGAUCGACAUAUUCUCUGGGUAUUUUAUUUAUUUUAUUUAUAAUCUUCUUGAUCAAGUGUUCUUUCAGCUAAUGCUACCACAAUCAUACUACAUACUAACGCAGUCACCGGAACCAAACCGCAGUUGCAAUGAAUGAUCCUGCAGUCAAAACUUCAUAAACGCCUUGGAUAAUGUUGUGUGCUAUUUAACGAACUUUAAUAAAAAACAUUCUUAAAAAAAACAUUCAUUUUGUCGCACAUAACAUUCUCGGUCCUUUUCAAAUAAAAUUCCUUUGGCAGGUUCUUUUUUUGGAUAAAAACAUGUGAAUCGUUUUUUCCAUAAACAAAAUCUUUUAAGAAAUCUUUUCCUCAACCAGUCAUAUCAUUCGGCCGUUGGAUGUCAAAUCCGUUUCGACAUCCCCAUUUUUCACAACGGGUAAAACGACUCUCAACCCCAGGUUCAGGCGGCGUGUGAUCAUGGUAAUGUUAAUGCAAUAAAUGCUCCUCUUUUCCCGAAAACAUUUUAAAUUCGAUUUAUUUUAAUUGUGGCUCAUAAUGGUUAAAAACCCAAAAGUUUUUUUGAACUUUAACAGUUGUAAUUAAAGUAAUAACAAUGAUUUUUGAAACUUCAAUUGAACAUUCAAUGUUUGAAACUUCAUUUGAACAUUCAAGGAUUUAUACAUGUCACCAAAUUAAUUCUUGGCACCUUUAAAGUUAUUGCAAGCAGUUACCUAGUUAACCUUCAAAGUUUAUACAUGACACCAACUUAGUUGUUGACACCUUUUCAAAAUUACUUGUAUUCUCAAAAAAUCAGUGGACAGGUACAUCCAAGGAUUUUUGUGAAGACAGAGCUUCAUUGAUUCAUCUCUUUUAAGUUUUUGGUGUCAUGUAUACAAUGACAUGAACACAUAUCUAAAAACUUAUACUUUUCAAUACAUAGUUGUUGCACUUUGAUUACUAUUAUGCAAUUGUUGUGAUAGUAUACAUGAAGUCAUCCGCCCCUGAAUAUUUCCGCCGUUCCGGUUUCAGGGUGUGAUAGAUUGGUAUCAGACCAUUGUUUAUAUUGAACUAAGUAUAUCAAACCAUAAAAAGAUAUACAAUUAUAAAUACUAUGGGGCUGAAGCGCUCUGACUAAAAGUAUACUUUUAAAAUCUAAGUAUUUUAUUAGAUGUAUACUAACAUGCAUACAUACAAGAAACAGUAUCACAGUAAAAACUACAUAAAAGUAUUUAGAUGUUGGACACUGCAGUUAAACCUGGACAGUUAUGUAAUCAUAUCUGGGAUAAAUAUACCCUGAUCAACUAUAUUUAUUUGAGAUAUGACCAACAUGUGUUUGGGAGUAAUCGUAGUGUUGCAACACAUCUAAAACAUACCAAACCUAUAUACCAGAAGAACUCUAGAACCAAACAUAAAUUUAUAUACUAUAGGAGUAUUAAUAUCUCUUACACCCCUAUUCUCGCAUAGAUAACAUGGCUGGAUUUCAUCUACUGGGGGAUUUGUACUUCCCCAACCAAAGGAAUGGAGGAUGGCUCGAAGAGGAACCAGAAGACGACCCUGUGGUCCAAUAGAAGAAGACUUCGAGGAAUAGGAUAUUUAAGAAGACUCUGACUUGGAACAAGAAGUUUAUGAUCCACCUCAAGUUGCCCAAAAUCCCAAUCCUUGACAAAACUUCCAAGGUUUGACACCAUAGUGAGCAAUAGACUUAGAGGGGUGGAGUCGUGAACAGGGUCAUCACCUUCCCUAUAAUGGAGAACGAAGCUUCUACAACCUUGAUGAGUGAGGCUCAACAAGCAGACGCCUCCAUGUGUUAGUACGUCGAGUUUCGCGUAACGAUUAGCAAGCAAGAACAGCCAACCACCGAGUCGUAGAGGUCGGUGCUACCACGGUAGUCAACACGGUUCGCCUCCGCCACUUGGGUGAAGACCAAGAGUUAGCCAGGAAUCACACUGAGGCCCGGCAGAGAUAACUAACUGCCAGCCGAGCCGAAGUUAAAGAACCUCAGCUGCACCAAGCAGCAUUAGAAAGGUUUGUGCUGGAAGCAGAACACCAAUUGGCCACAUCCAGGGCUAUACUUGUACGAAGCAGAACGACACUCCUCGCGAGUAGGGCAUACCCUACUCACUCUUUUGGAUAUACAUUAAGUUUACUUAUAGACUCUAGUGUUAUUUUUCAUGUCUAUCGUUAGACCUCGAAAUUUUAUUUUCGAAAGGUCAGUAUUUUGCAAAGUUUUCUUAUUAAGUUGGUAUGUUGUAGACCUAGUUUAGGGUCAAAUUUUUCGAAAUCUAUACAUCUAAUAUACCAAUGAAAUUGACAUGCAUUUUCUUUUCUUUAAAAAAUAUCUAUGAAAAUUCUUUAUGAUAUUUUACAAUUUAUUACUUGUGGUAGACUCUAUUUUAAACUCUUUGCAAAAUACGUAUUGAACCAGUGUGUAUUGGUUCAAAGUCUCCUGAUUUAUAAUCACUAUUAAAUUCUUAUCAUCAUUUUCAUCUUUGAAAACUUCAUAGAAAAAGAUGCCACCACAUAAAUCAAAUAGGCGUUUCAACAACAAUCCACCUAUUCCACCACCACCACCUCCUCCACAAUAUGGUACUCUUGUUUUCCAUGCAGUAGUAGCCACCACCGUGGCUACUACCAAGACGUAAAAAAAUGUCAGUGGUACUAGUGGAGCUGGAAGUGGUACUCAUAAUGUUGGAUUAGUGUCUAAGUCCAUAACCAUUUUGGUAUGUACUUGACCCGAUGGUGCAUGGUCCUUUUGGGUUGCCUUCACCAAAGCAACUUGAUAGGAUGAAUUAUGGAGAGAAAGGAUUAAAUAUGAUUUAUUAAUAUAUUAUGAGAAUAAUAUAUUAAAGGAGAAAUCAUAUUGUUUAAUUAAUAUUAUUCAAGAAUUAAUAAGAAUUAAGUUUGUAACUAAAAGAGAUUAAUUAAACAUAAGGGACUGGAAUUGUAAUUAUAAGAUAGUUUUAAUUGGGCCAUGGAUUGCCUUAUAUUAUAAGGCUGGACGAAUUCUAUAGGGAAACUCAUUAGAAAUCGUGCAAGGCCUUUAAGGAAAGGAGUCCAUGGGUUGCUUAGGGCUUAAGCAUCCAAAUUAGGGUUUCCUUGCUAGAUAACCCUAAUAGCCUCACUAUAUAUAGAACCCUUAUGCACCAAAAACGUGGUGAACAAGAUCCUUAGGGUUUCUACACGUUUUUGAGAGCCUCCUUCUCUUCUCCUCUUCAUCCUCUUGCUCUUGGUGUUUGUGAACCAUUAGAGGAGUGACAUUUGUGACUCUAAGCUUUCUAAAGUCAAUACAAGGAGGAUUUGGGAUUGUUAUUGCUACAUAACAAUCAAGGUAUGAUCUAAACCCUAAUUAUAUGUUAUAUUGAUUAUCAUAUGCUAGAUCUAGGGUUUAUAGUCUUGGAUAAAUUGCAUGUACAAUAGAGAAACCUAGAUCCAAGCAUUAGGGUUUGUAUGAGCACAUAGGAUGUUCUUAUGGCCAAAACCCAUCAGUGGUAUCAGAGCCUUGAUUGGUUUCUAUUGUAUUGAUGCCUUGUAUGUUUGUUCAAGUUGAAAAAUUCGAUUUUUGUGAAACUGCCUGAUGAACUCGGCGAGUCCCAUUGUGGACUCGGCGAGUAGGCCCCUACUCGGCGAGUCCAUAUGGGUAGUCGGCGAGUUCGAGCGUCAGAAAGAGGGGAUUUCGGGAUUUCUUGUUGUUUUUCUCAUAGAUACUUGCCUUAUCUGUUUUAGAUCAUUAAAAUCCGAUUUUAUUCAUAUUUUUUAGUAUAUCCUUGAUUAAACAAAAGAUAAUUACCAAUUGAUUAGAUAAUAACUUCCUUAUAUGAUUAAAGUUGAUUAUUUGUAUUAAUUGGGUAACUUAUUUUGCAAGAAAUUGAAAUUAGGUCAAAUAUAGAUAAUGAUAAAAUUAAUUGUUUAAUUUAUAUUAUUUGUUAUUUGAUCCUUGUGUUAUGAAAAGUUUCAAUUUUCCCCUUUAGGUUUUAUAGUUUAAAUUUGAACUCAAAAGUUUUGUUUUGAAAUUUAAAUAGUUGAAACCCUAAUGUUUUGAAAAGGUUUCAAAACUUGCCCUCAAGUUUUGGAAUUUAAAUUUUGAUUAAAAGUUUAAUUUUGAUGUAUAUUUAAAUUCUAAACCUUAAUGUUUUGAAAUGUUUCAAAACUUGCCCUCAAGUUUUGGAAUUUAAAAGUUGAUUAAAAGUUUAAUUUAGGAAUGUUAAAUUCUAAAACCCUAGUAUUGUUUUGAAAAGUUCAAAUCACACCCUUAUGGUUUUAUUAAUUAAUUAAGGUGUAUAAUUAAAAGAGGUUUAAUAAAUCCAUAAAAGUUUUGGUUUACAAUUUAAUUGAAUUAAAAGUAUAAUUGUUAAAUUUGACCACCUAGUAUUUUAAAAGUGUAAAAUACACCCUAUACUAUAUAUAACAUUAAAAGUCUAACAUUAUAUAUAUGUAUGAGUAAAAGUCAGUCUUACCGUUAGUAGGCCUCAUUCACGAAGCUGGUCUAUAAGGGGUGUUUAAGGAAAUUGCCUAUAAAAUGGCGAUUGAAUGGGUAUCCACUCUUACCCACCGCACUCUUGACUAGUGGAGGGUCGUUAGCCGAACGGGUAGGAUAGGACAAAACCUUCCAUUAUAAGUAUAAUGAAGUACAAAAGUAACUAAAUGUUUUACAAAUUCCCAAUCUUAGUUACUUAGGCAAAAGUGAAUUGAUGCAAUUCCAUGAAAUUACACUUUGUGCCCUUGCGAAGACGUUAGUGGAGCGUGUGUGGUUUACCGGCACACUAAAUGGUUCUAAGCAAAGGUAGCAAAGGGUGACUCAAUGUUUGUCAUAGUUCGGUGGAGCGUGUGUGGUUUACCGGCACAUCGAAUAGGUGACUGUAACAUGUGAGGGCACCAUGUAAGUUUGCAUGGUUAUUCACACCCGCUUUGUGAUCCUCGGCAUCCCAGUCACAAACAAGAGGGGCAUAUCGAGAUUUAAACAUGCCAUUGAAAGUUCAAUGAAUCUCAAAGGAUCUAGGAGUUUUCAUAGAUUUAAAACUUAAAUUUCUUUUUCGUUUUUCAUGGUGGAAAUUAGUGAAUCGUCAUUCACUUACCUUCAAAUAUUCUGCAAUUAGGGUUACGGCAUCCCUCUCCCGAGUUGUAGAAUAUUGUGUUGGGUCCUAGCCUUAGUAUCUCAUUUGGGUGAUUUACUAAGGACUCAAUCAAUCAACUAACUUGAAUUCGUUUUCUCCCGUUUUGUAGAUGUCAAAGUUCGACAACUAUGGUCUUCCCAAAUCCCGUGGAACAAGCAUUCCACAUGAAGAUGAUAUUCCACGAUUCGAUCGAGGAACAAGAAAUCAUGCUUCACUUCCUCCUCCUCCUCCAAUUAUUCUCCCUAACCCACAAGUUCAAAGGCUUGAAAAGUUCAAGAUCACUCAAGCCCUUUUGGCAAGUAAACAUAAAGAAGGAAAGUCGGUGUGUGCACACGUCCUAGGGAUGAAGUCACACAUUGAUAGGUUAAGAAUGUUGGGAUCCGUUGUCUGUGAGGAAAUGGCUGUUGAUUGGGUUCUUCAGUCACUUCCUAACUCGUAUAGUGAGUUCGUAAGAGAGUACUAUAUGAUGAACUGCGACGUGACCCUUAUAGAUCUCACCUAUAUGCUUAUUGCUGCUGAAUCAGCAAUGGUUUGGCGCAAUAGAAAAGCAAAGUUGAUUGGUGAAUCUGCCUUCAAGACCUCUAUGGAUAUAGACAAUGGCAACGAAAGACAUGCUAUGAUCGAAAAGUUUGAUCAUAAGAGAAAGGCAAUGUCUGAAGUAGUUCCAUGUCCUGUUCCAAAAGAGUCAAUUUGCUUUUAUUGCCAAGAGAAGGGACAUUGGAGACGAAGCUGCCCUAUUUACCUAAGAGAUCUAAGAGAUGGGAGAGUCAAAACGUAUGGCUCUGGUUUAGGUAAAAUCCAUUGACUAACUCUUUUAAGCUCCUAUUCUAGAUUCUUAAUACAUAAUGUGAUAAGAUUACAAUUGAUGUUUUGUAGGAUCAAAGAAAAGAGAGGAAGCUUAAGGGAAGAAGUGAGCAUAAUCUAAGCAUUAAGAAAUGGAUUUCGAUCGCAUUACUUGAAGAUUAGAUUCUUGAGCUACUAAUUAGAGUUAGAAUUAGAUUGCUAAGAAAUAUGUAUUAGCACAAUUUUUCAAUGAAUUGCAUUGUAAGGACAAAUUUUUUCCGCAAUAAAAUAAAUUUUGAUUUUAUAUUAUUUAUUUAUCCUUGCAAUGGCGUGUAUGAAAAAAAUUGAUGUUUGAAUGUUUCUAUUAUUAGCAAUAAUGGGUUUCAUUCUUAAUUACGGAAAUGUCGAAAAUUUACCAAAUAAGGAGAGUUUCGCAUCACCUAAGUUUCAAUUGGACAGAAACUUAGAAUCAUGCAACUUGCUUGCACGAUGAACGAGAAAUUUCAUAUUUGGAAAUUAGACUAAUUCAUUGACAAAGUGUUAAUUGAAGGACUAGGAGAUCGAGUACACAAAGUUGCAUAUUGAUCAAGUCCACCAUAAGAGUAACAAAGAUGUUCAUCAUGAUUUACUAAAGGUUUACUCAAUAUGAUUAUACUUAUAAGAUUAAGUGUAACUCUGAAUUGAUUGAAAAAGUUUAAAUCAAUAGCAGAAUGAAUAAGAAGAAUAAAGUAGGCAGAAAGAUAAAAGUUUCUCCGUUCUAAGAAGAAGGGAGAGUACCUUUUAUGCUUUAUGAUAGGUAUUAAUGAUUAAGACCCAUAUCUCAAUUGAUCCUCUAAGUGAGUCUUAGUAUAAUUGUAUGUCUAAGAAGAGGAAUCAAGAAUUGAAGAAAUGGUUAAAUCAAGAAGUCAAUCAUACUUCGUUCCAAAACAAGUCUUAGAGUUAAGAUUGUGAAAUUGAGUGAUAAGUAUUAAGAAGGUUUAUAACAUUCAUCAAAUGUGGAAAGUUGUGAUGUCUUGGAUAAGACAAAGACCAACUAGGACCAAUUUAUGAAGUGGUUGAUAAAAGCUACACUAACUCUUGAAUAUUUGUUUGUCAAGAAAUGUUUAUUGACAAGAGAAUCUUAUAUGUCAAGGAGUCAGUGGGAGUCUUAAUGGUCUUGAAAGGUUUCAAGAACAAAUCAAAAUAGACCUUAUCGAUCAUCACUAGCACACGAGUUGAGGUUUACAACCUAUCGUGUUGACACUAUUUUGUUUCUGUGCCAUUCCAAUUGAGUUAAUUAUGCAUGUGAGUUCUAUGAGUUCUCAUUUGAACGCAUAAAAGGCAGGCACCUUGAUCAAUGAAAAGUACAUUGAUAGGAAAGGGUGAGCUGCUUAACUACUUGGAAGACAUGGUGGGCAGCUGUGCUACCAUAAGGCAAGAAAUCAAGAUUAAGAAAGUUCGGUCCAUAUGAGUUUGAAUUUGUCGUAAACUUUGGUUUUAACAAAUUCACAUGGAUAGGAACACAUACACCAUUAAAAUCUAAGUGUCAUAAGAUUCCCUCCUUCAUGAAAAUGACUGUGAGGAAAUGCUUUCACUAAGAGAGAUUUUAAAAAGAUAGUGAUUGUGAAAAUUGGAUUCUCGAAUUCGAUUAUGGUUACGGUAUCCCUUUCCAUGAUUCGAAUUGUGAGAUUUGGCAAUUAGUCUGAAUUGUUUAGACACACAUAUGAGCUAUCUAAGGCAAAGGUGUAUAAGUUUAAGAAGCUUAGAUAAAGGAUUAUCAAAGCAUUAGGUAUUAGAAAUAUGAACUUAAGAAAUUCAAUAGGUAUUGUUUUUCUGGAAGUUAAGUUGUUUUCUGAAUACAUGUCAAAGCUAGUGGGAGCAUAAGUGUUAUGUUUAUAAUAAUCAUCAUGAUAGUGGGAGCAUAAAUGUUAUGAUUGUAUGAUUAUUAAGGCAAGUAUUGCAAGUUAGCAAUAUUAAUUAUAGAAAACAAGAGUUAUACUUUGCAAAGUCGUAAGGGUUGAAAAGUUGUUUUGCUAUAAUUAAGGGAGAGAAUAUUAUGCUUCAUUUCAAAUCUAAAGGCUUAGGUUGUGGAAUGUUAAUAAAUUUAGUCAAGGAUACAUAGUGUGUUCUCAAAUUUCGAUUAUGAUUACGGCAUUCCUCUUCAUAGUUCGAAUUUUGAGAACGUAGCACAUAAAAUAUUAUGGCAGAAGAUUGAUAAAGUAUCAAAUCUUUAUGUAAGACAUUAUGCAUCGUGUCCCAUACGCUUCGGGUAUAGGAUCGAUUGCAAAUGCUAUAAUAUUUGACCAUUCUAAAAUUUUCCAAAUGUCUAGCGCAUUUAGAGGGAAAAAGGACAAGAAUCGGUUUUGACUAAGAUAAUUAAACAACUAUCAAAGGACAAUCCAAAGUUCGCCGAGGAUUGGUCGCUUGUGAGUAGUUGGAAGUAUAGUAUUGGAUGGACCAUAUCGACAUUAUUAUGAAUAGAUAAGAUUCUAUUAAGAAUGAGUUGUCAUAUGGAAAAUAUGGAAAUGUUUCCAUAUUGGGAGUUGGAUAUUGAGAAUCUAUGUCUAGAUUAGAAACUUUUAUGCAAGAAGGAUGUUCAAAGGAAUGUACUUUGAAUGUGAGACAUCAUAUCUAUAGAAUUGUUUCUGAUAGAGAUUGGCCAAGUCUUGAUGAUUUUGAGCUAUGACUUUACGAAAGAAUCAUUGCAUAAAAUGUUAGAAUCUAGCAUAAGUAAUAAGAAUUUGAUAUUCUUAUACUUAUGAUAAGGAUUGGGAGUUGUGAAAUGAGUAUGAUUGGAAAUGUGUUCAUUUGAUCUAUUUCACAAAGUAAGGACCGUAGGUAAACAUUGUGUGCAUGCUAAGAGCAUGGGACAAGUGUAGUUAUAAUUCAAGUAAGAAGUUGAUUACCCGAAACAACAAAUAAUGAGUAAUCAAUAUGGUGAUAAAUAAAAGGUGUUUUAUUUAUACUCAAAGGUUUGAGGCCAUAUGGGAUUAGUAUUAUUCUUGUGUUUCACUUUGCAUGUUUUGACUUCCUGAAUAAUUUAAUUGGUUCAGAACAGUCAAAUUAUUCGAACGGGCCACAGUCGUUCAUAUGUUGGAAGUAGGUAUGAAUGAAGACUGUCGUGAAUUGGUGUGUGGAUUGUCUAAAGUGUAUUAGACAUAAGCAAAUGUUUGCUGCAACGUUCAUGAGUGCUUAUGAAUAUGAUUUGAGCAUUGGAUUAAACCCACGCUCACUUGGAUCACUUCAUGGAUUUUAUCACGAGUGAUUGGUGAGACGAUAAUAUCUUAUAUUCUUGAAACCGAGAUGUGUGAGUUGUAUCUUGCGAGUCGGUUACACAUUGAUAAUAUGUAAACGCACCAGUAACUUGGUGUUAUAAAACAUAUUGUUGUGUGUGAUUCGGUGAGUGAGUGCAAGCAAGCAUUGAAUCAAAGUUUAUCCGUUCCUUUUAUCCAAAGUAGGAUAAAAGCGAUAUCUUUGGGCCCCUCGAUGAUUUAGUGAUGACAAACGUAAAUGCUCGGCCGGGCUAGGGCUAAUUUGAUUUGUUCAAUUAGUCAGUCGUCAUAAAUCGGAAAUCGAGAAAUAGUACAAAGAGAAUGAUUUGAAAUCAUAUCUCAUAUGAUAUCUAGAAUGGAGGAAUAUAUGAUCCCUUAUCUAAGGACACGCGUAUCUGAUAGGAUCAGAGUUGACAGCGGCUUUGGAAAGCUACGAUUGCAGAUCAGGAUCUGAAGUCAUACGUAUAAUAGUUAUUAGACUUAUCCAAGUGGGAGACUGUUGGAUUAGUGUCUAAGUCCAUAACUAUUUUGGUAUGUACUUGACCCGAUGGUGCAUGGUCCUUUUGGGUUGCCUUCACCAAAGCAACUUGAUAGGAUGAAUUAUGGAGAGAAAGGAUUAAAUAUGAUUUAUUAAUAUAUUAUGAGAAUAAUAUAUUAAAGGAGAAAUCAUAUUGUUUAAUUAAUAUUAGUCAAGAAUUAAUAAGAAUUAAGUUUGUGACUAAAAGAGAUUAAUUAAACUUAAGGGACUAGAAUUGUAAUUAUAAGAUAAUUGCAAUUGGGCCAUGGAUUGCCUUAUAUUAUAAGGUUGGACGAAUUCUAUGGGGAAACCCAUUAGAAAUCGUCCAAGGCCUUUAAGGAAAGGAGUCCUUGGGUUGCUUAGGGCUUAAGCAUCCAAAUUAGGGUUUCCUUGUUAGAUAACCCUAAUAGCCUCACCAUAUAUAGAACCCUUAUGCCCCAAAAACGUGGUGAACAAGAUCCUUAGGGUUUCUACAUGUUUUUGAGAGCCUCCUUCUCUUCUCCUCUUCAUCCUCUUGCUCUUGGUGUUUGUGAACUCUAAGCUUUCUAAAGUCAAUACAAGAAGGAUUUGAGAUUGUUAUUACUACAUAACAAUCAAGGUAUGAUCUAAACCCUAAUUUAUAUGUUAUCAUAUACUAGAUCUAGGGUUUAUAGUCUUGGAUGAAUUGCAUGUACAAUAGAGAAACCUAGAUCCAAGCAUUAGGGUUUGUAUGAGCACAUAGGAUGUUCUUAUGGGUAAAACCCAUCACAUAAUUCAAAUCAUGGAUAAAGUCUUGGACACCCAAGGGAGUGUUCGUAUAAAGACUUCUCAAAUGCCACACCCAAAUAUUUCGAUGGCACUAGAGGUGUCAUUGCACUGACACGCUGGUACGAGAAAACCGAAUAAGUGUUUGAAAUUUGUGCUUGGACUGAAGCAAGUAAAGUAAUGUUUGAAGCAUGCACCUUUUUAGACAGAGCCCUUUCCUCGUGGAAUGGCUACGUCAAAUCGUUAUCUCUUCCGGUUGUAAACGCCAUGAGCUAGGGAGGCCUAAAGGUUCUAAUGCUAGUAGAAUAUUGUCCUAGGGGUGAAAUACAAAAGUUAGGGCAAGAACUCUGGAGUUUGAAGAUGAAGGACUUCGAUAUUGUUGUGUGUACUGCUAAAUUCAGCGAACUGACUCUACUAUGUCCCGAAAUGGUCACCCCAGAGAGUAAAAAUGUGGGGAGGUAUAUUAGGGGUUAACACCCCCGACUCAAGGAAACAUUAUUGCCGCCAAUCCACUUACAUUCGAAAGUGCCAAGCGUAUGGCUCAUAUCCUUGUAGAUCAUGGAUAUCGUCAAGACUCCAUGCCAACUCUUCCUAAAAAGCCCAAAGAAGGAGGCGGCAAAAAGAAGUUCUGCAAUAUGUGAAAGGGGUAAUCAUCACAGGAGCCCUCCAAGAAAUACCAAACUAUAGCAGUACACACUACUAUUGCUCCUACUAUUUUUCCUAGUCCUACACCUACAAUCGUUUUUGCUACUCUGACAACCCCGAGUCGAUACGUUGGAACUUUGCCGAUGUGCAAUAACUUCAACUUCCAUCACAUGGGAGUUUGCAGGGAAAUGUACUACAGAAACUGUAACAAAAAGGGGCACACUGCCCGUUUCUCUAAAUCAACAGCACAAUCUAUCUCUCAAGUCCCAGCUGUGGCAGUAAGCCAAGCUUCUUAUGAGUGCGCCAAAAUUGGGCACUACAAGAGAAACUGCCCAAAGACAAAUAAUGUUGGUGGUUUGGGAAGAAUAUUAGUGAUUGGCCAUGAAGAAGUGAGGACAUAUCCCUCAUGGUUACCAAUACAUGUCUUCUCAAAAAUUCUUACGCAUGCAUUCUUUUCGAUACUGGUGCGGAGAAAAGCUUCGUGAGUCAUAAAUUCAAGCAUCUACUAAAACUAAACCCUCAAUCAUUAAAAGAUACAUUCACAGUAGAGAUGGAAAACGGAAAAACCAAGAGCACAAAUUGUUGGGUUUUGACCAUUCUAACACUCCUAUGGUGUGCAACCCUAUAAACCUUGGAUCUACGUUUUCUCUCUUAUACAUGCAAAUACGAACUUUCCAAGGCUUUAAUCCUAACUAGCAUACUAUGAGGCAACUCUACUACAAAGACUAGUUAGAUGACAUACCUUUUGGUGUAGCUUGAUGACUUCAAGCUUUAAUGGCUUAGCCCCAAUAGUGUGGAUGCCUCAAGUGGAAUCACAAAUCACCAAAACACCUUGGAAGACUUUGAGAAUAAGAAUACUUUGGUUCUCUCUAGUGAAAUCGGCUAGCCCUCUUAGUGUACCCACAGUAGUGCCAAUUUCACCAACCAAGGACAUCUUUAUAUAGUGUGGAGACUAGGGUUAAACCCAUGACCUUUCAUUUCAUAUGAUCCAUAGGUUAAACACUCCAUGGACUAUCCAUGAAACUUCGCCCAACCUAAAUGAACUUGGCCCAUCACACACAUAUAUCUAAGAGUCCAUAUUUAAUUUGUUCAUUUUAAUCACUUAAUUAAUUCUAAAUUAAUUCUUCAUCGGUACUAAUUAAAUAAUAUGAUUAUAUAUUAAUAUAUUAGAACUUAUAAUAUAUUAAUAUAGUAUUCUCAAAAGAUUAUCCAUAUAAAUUGUGUCGGUGAAGUGCAACCCAAACGGACCAUGCCUGGUCGGGUCAAGUACAUACCAAAUAUAGUUAUGGACUUAGAAAUUAAUCCAAUAGUUUUCCACUUGGAUAAGUCUCAAACUAUUAUUGAGUAUGACUUCAAAAACCAAUUGGCAAUCGUAGCUCUUAAAGCCAUUGUCGAACUCUGAUCUUGUCAACGAACUCUGACCAUUGUCAAUGACUUGUCCAUUAGAUAGGGAUCAUAUAUUCCUCCAUUCUAGAUAUCAUAUGGACUGAGACAUGGAUUAUAAGCAUUCUCUCUAUCCAUUUGUUGUUUCCCGAUUUCCGAUUCAUGAAGAUUGACUAAUUGAACAAAUCAAAUCAGUCCUGGCUUGGCCAAGCACUCACAUGUGUCAUCAUUAAACCAUCCAGGGGCCCACAGAUAUCGCUUUUAUCCAGAAGGUAAAAGGCAUGGAUAAACUUCGACUCAUAUGGCUUGUUCUACUACUUGUUGAAUGAUACACAAAGGCAUAUUUUAUAACAUCGAGUUACCGAAUACGUUUUCGAGCAAUCAAUGUACAACCAACUCAUAGUAACAACUCAUAUCUCUAGGUUUGAAGAAUAUAAGAUAUUAAUCGUCUCAUGAUCGCUUGUGAUAAAUACAUGAAGUGAUUCAAAUGAGCGCGGGUUGAAUCCAAUACUCAGAACUUAUGAACACUCAUGAGUGUUGUAGCACAACUUUGUCCGCCAACUUGGACCUCUACAAGCCAACCCAUGACAGUCUUGAUUCAUAUCAACUUCUAACAUAUGACCAACUGUGGAUGUUUUGAAUAACUUAGUCAUUCCGGAAGAAUAACCUAGCUAUUAUGGAAGUCAAAACAUGCAAAGUGAAACACAAGAAUAAAUGAAUCUAAUAUGGUAUCAAAACCUAUGAAUAUAAAUAAACCACUUUUAUUUAUCACCAUACUGAUUACUCAUUAUUCAUUGUUUUGGUUUUAUCAACUUAAUACUUGAAUUAAAACACUAGGUGUCCCAUGCUCCAAGCAUGUACACUAUGUUUUUCUAAACAAUAGCUUUACCAUACACCAAGUAUGAACUCCAUGUUUGUCUAUGAUCCUUUUCUUUAUGAACUAGAUCGAUUGAACAUAAGUUCAAUGAUUCUCUUUUCACACUUCUAAAUCCUUGUCGUAAAUGUAAGAAUUCCUAACAUUUAUCGAAAUUUGUUUAGAUUUUAAACUUAUAUGCACUGUUCCUCUUGUAAUGAUUAUGCACAAAGCCACAAAGACUUGGCAACAAUCAUUAUAGAGUAUUCCAAUGGAGAGCAAUUCCAUGGAAAUGAUGUCUCACAUUCAAAGCGCAUUGCUUUGAAUAUGCUUCUUGCAUUAAGUUUAUUUAACCUUACACAUAUUGCUUCCACCUAUGAAGACAACUCUAUAUUCCCAUUUUGACUACCACUUCUGAACAAGAGUUGGCUCUUUUCAGGCUAUGUCAAUAUGGUCCUUCGAAUAUAAACAGUAUACUUCCAACUGUCCUUGAGCAACCAAUCUUUGGUAAACCUUAGAUUGUCCUCGAUAAUUGCUUAAUCACUUUAGUCAUAUCCAAUUCUAGACAUUGUUCCCCUUAAUGCCCCAAGGCAUUUGGAAAAUUCAAAAAGGAUAAAUAUUAUAGCACAUGUAAUCGAUCUUGUACCCAAAGUAAAUGGGACACUAUUCAUGAUGUUUCACAUAAAGACAUGGUUCUAGACCAGUCUUCUGCCAUAAUAAUUUUUUGUUUUCCAUAUUCUCAAAAUUUGACUAUGAAAAGGGAUGCCGUAAUCAUAAUCGAAUUUUGAGAAUGCAAUAUAUGGAAUUUUCUUAAGUUGAACCAAUCCAACAUGAAAUUCUUAUAUAUAUUCUUGACUAAAGGUGAUUAAAAUCUCAAUAUAAGCUUUUUAGAAUGAUUAUAAAUUCAAUCUACUCUUUUUAGAAUUGACAUGAAGUAUAAUUUCGUCUCCCUUAAUUAUAGCAAAACAACUUUUUGAAUCCCCGCAACCUCACGAAUUGAAACUUUUGUUAUCUAUAAUUAACAUUGCUAACUUGUAAUACUUAUCAUAAUUAUCAUGCUCCCAGUAACAUGAUGAUUAUUAGCAAUACACUCAUGCUCCCACUAGCUUUGACAUGUACUCAGAAAUCAGUUGAACUUCUAGAAAUCAAUACUUUAUUGACUUUCUUACCAAAGUUCAGAUUUCUAAGACAAGAUUGCCUUGAUAAGAACUUUAUCAAAAUCAUACACCUUUCCUUAGAUAGCAUACAGGUGUGUCUAAACAAUUUCAGAACUAUGGAAAGGGACGUCGUAAUCAUAGUCUCAAUUGUUUAGACCUUUUCCCAUUUCUCAUAAGUCGAUGCUAGUGUGCCGGUUAACCACGCACGCUCCAAUAACGAUUUUGAGAACUGCAAAUAUCACAAUUGCUAUCUACUUAAAAUCUACUUAGUGAAAGAGUUUCCUUACCAUCAUUUUAAUGAAUCGAAGAGAAACCAUAUGACACUUGGAACAAAGUAUGUAUCAUCUUCUUGAUUUAACCACUUCAAGAAUUCAUAACUCCUCUUCUUAACUAUCAUAAUGCACUUAGAGGAUGAAUUGUGAUAAGGUCUCAAAAUCAUUAAGAUGAUCUUAAAACAAGAUACUAAAGUACUCUCCCAUCUUUUCAGAUUUGAGAAACUUUUAUCCUUCUGCCUAAUUUGAUUCUUCUCAUUCGUUCUGCCAUACAUUGAAAAUUUUCCAAUGUAUCAGAAUUACACUUAAUCUUGUAAGUGUAACCAUAUUUACUAAACUUUAGUAAAUCAUGAGGAAUAGUCUUAUAGAUCUUUUGUGGUGGACUUGAUCAGUGCACAAGAAUGUGUACUCGAUCUCUUAGUCCUUCACUUGAUUCACAUAUACAUGUGAACAAGGGACUAGUCUUAAUUUUCCAAAGCUGAAAGUUCUCAUUCAUCAUACUAUACAACUUGCAUAAUUUCCAAGUUUCUAUCCAACUGAAACUUGGGUGAUGAGAAUCUUUCCUUGUUUGGUAAAUUUGGACACUACCGCAAACGAAAUAAUCAAAUCCAUUUUUCCAAUAUUGUUAUCAAUGGAAUCAUAUAAGCAACACUUUUUCACAAAUGUCAUUGUAAGGAUCCUUAAAAUAAAUAAAAUCAAAUAUCUUCCUUUUAUUUUAAAACUUUGCGAAAACUGUCCUUACAGUGCAAAUGAAAACCUUGUUGUUAUAUAUUCCUAAGCAAUGUGUCAUAACUCCUAAGUAACAGCUUAAAAUUCUGAUGCGAUCGAAAUCCAUCUUGCGAUCAGAAUCAGCAUAUACUUCCUUUAAGCUUUCUCUCUUUAUUUCAUUCUUAUAANGACCCAGUCACAUCAUGUAUCAAGAAUCUCAGAAUAGAAACUUAACAGAGUUAGAUAGUGGACUUUACCUAAAGUAGAGUCAAACUUAUUGACUUUAACAUCCUUAGGUAAAUUUGGCAGCUUCGCAAACAAUGCCCCUUCCUUUGGCAAUUUAACAUAUGGAUGCUUUGGUAAUGGUACAUGGGAUUAUCAGAGACUUAGCAUUUCUCGUUACCAUUUGGUCAACUGAGUUGACUAUGGCCAAACCCUUUCCAUUGGGAAGAGAAUGGUUUUCCAGGAUUUCCAGUGUCAUCAUUGUCAAUGUCCAUAAAGUUUUGGGAAGUCGAUCUUCUAAUCAAAUUUGCUUCACUAGCCUUCCAAAUCAUUGUUGAUUCAGUAGUACCAAGCAAAUAGAUAAGAUGAUUAAGGGUCUUGUCAUAGUCUGUUUCAUAAGAGUCCCAAAGGAACUCACUAUGUGACUCAGAAAGUGAUUGAACCACCAACUUUCUCAAGACUUUGACACCCAACUCUCCUGGCUUGUCAAUAUGUGACUUCAUCUCCAAGAUGCGACCACACAUAGACCUUGCUUGCCAAUAGGGCUUGAUUGACCUUGAACUUGUGGGUAAAGGAGAAUAAUUGGAGAUGGUGAAGGAGGUGAAGUUCCAAGAGAUUUGGGAAGAUCAUAGAUGGAUGAACUAGAAAUCUUUUAGGAGAUAUUCAAGAUAGUUGAUUUAAAGUCCUUAAUAUAACACACAAUAUGAAAUAUUAAGGCUAGGACCCAACAAACUAUUUUAUAACUUGGAAGAGGAUGCCGUAAUCCAAGCUAUAAAAUAUUUGAAGGUAGGUGAAUGACGAUUCACCAAUUUCCACCAAGAUAAACGAAAUGUAUUAUUAGGUUUUAAUUGGUUUUAGAAACUCCUAGUUCUUUUGAGAUUCAUUGAACUUUUCAAUGGCAUGUUUCAAUUUCAAGUUUGCCCUUCAAGUUUUGUGACUGGGAUGUCGAGGAUCACAAAACAAGGUGUGACGUAACCAUGCAAAUUACUUGGUACCCUUAAGUAUUUACCCCCAAUCGAUGUGCCGGUUAACCACACACGCUUCAUCGAUACUAUGAAAAAAAUUAAGUUACCCUUUGCCUACCUUGUUAAAUACGAGUUAGUGUUUCGGUUAACCACACACUCUCCACUAACCGACUUAAACAAAGUGCAAAGUGUAAUUUCAUGGAUUAACACCUUAUUCACAUUUUCCUAAGUAACUAAGAUUGGGUAUUUAUAAAAGGUUUAGUUACUUAGUAUUUAUCAUUAGUAUAGGGAGAAUUUAUAGCCUUUGUCCUACCCAUUCGGCUAACGACCCUCCACCAGUUAAGAAAGCGGUGGCUGUGAGUGGACACCCAUUAAACUGCCAUUUUAUAGGCAGUAACCUUAUACCCCCCUUAUAGACCGGCUUCGUGAAUGAGGCCUAGUAACGGUAAGAUUGACUUUACUCUUAUACAUAUAUAUAAACAUUAUUAACUUAUAAUAUUAUAAAGUAUAAGGUUGAAUUUUAACUUUUAAAAUUCUAAGGGCUAACUUGGAAUUAAAGUAUUCAUAAGUGAAAACUAUUCAAAUUCCAAAACUUGAGGGCAAGUUUUGAAACUAUUCAAACUAAUUAAUUCCGUAACUUAUGUGUUUAAAGUAGUUUCAAUUAAAAAACUCUUCAAGUUCCAUAACUUAAGGACAAGUUAUGGAAGACUUUAAACUAAUAAAAGAAUGUAACUUUUCUUUAUUUUAUAACUUAUGGAAUUAAUUAAGGUUACACAUUUUAUUUCUUAAUGAAGUGACUCUUGAACCUCCAUAACUUGAGCUCAAGUUAUGAAGUCAUAAAACCAUUUAAUGAGGACAAGACUCUUCAUUUUGUAACCAUUGCCAAUUUUUAUGAGUUUUAAGAAACUUUAAUGUGACUUUUCAUGUAACUAGAGGACAAGUUACACAAACACAUUUUAGAAUCUAUUCUUAGAUUAAAAUGGAUCAAAGACACAUAAUCAAUCAACCUUUUCUAUUAAUCUUUGCAACAAAUAUGAACCAGAUAAUUGGAAUCAAACUUUUUGAUGUAAUGAGCAUAACACUUAAACUAAUACAAAACAUGAAUCUAUUGACAAUUAUCUUUUGAAUUGGAUUAGAAUGAUCAUUACCACAUCAAAAAUAGGUUUAUAGGUUCAAAAACAGCUUAUGGUAAUGUUCCUAGUCCAAUUCCAGCCAAAAAGCACGAAGAUAUGCAUUCUGGGAGACAAACUCGUCGAGUUCUUCAGGGAACUCGUCGAGUUCAUGCUCUAAUACAUGAACUCAUCGAGUUUACCUCCAGAACUUGUCGAUUUUCAGGUCCUGACAGAUUCUUGGCUUCGAAAAAUCAGUUUACAUCAAGUACAAUUGAAAACAAGCCUAGGCUCUAAUACAACUGUUGGGUUUUGAGCAUUCUAACACUCCUAUGGUGUAUAUGCAACCCUAUAAACCUUGGCUCUAUGUUUUUUUUUGAAACAUAAAAGUGACCCUCUUGAACUCAGCUACCACAACAAUCUCUCUACCACAACGGUUCAGCACCCGCAUCGAUUUCAGCAUCUGGAGUCAGUUCUUCAUCAGCAACCGCAAUCAGACUUUUGCCACUACAGUCUACUUAUCUAGAUUACUUUACUUAUCUUUAUGUAAUACACUCUAUUAUCCAGUAUGCCUUGCAUUGCUGCUUAUCCAGUAUGCCUUGUGAAUUAUUCUAAAUAUAUUUCUCCAAGUUAUCUUCUUCAUUUAUCUAUCUUUCUACUCUUCUUACUAUAAAUUGUUACUGAAACAUAUCAGGCUAUAACCUCUCUCCAGAGCAAGUCUUUAAGACUUAAUAACUAAGCUUGAUCUUCCUUAUUAACUCUGAGUGAAUGCAUUCCUUGUUAUGAAUCAGCUUAAGUGUAUUCUUGAUAUAACAAUUGCUGUCAUUUAUAUUUCCUUACUUUCCGCAACUAACUAUCUAACUAUCUAACUAUAUUAUUGUUGAGAUUUUAGAUCCUUUGAGAUUAACUAUUCUGCAAUAUACUUGUUCUAAUGUUUCUUCAAGUGUGUCUCCAAGUUUUUCUCUCAACAAUUGGUAUCAGAGCCAAAGUAGUUGCUUUUUGAAUAUCGGAACUCUGAUUUUUCAUAAGGCCUUCUAUACCACUAAAGCACAUUUAAAAAAAAAUAAAAAAAAAACAAAAAAAUCUCAAAUGGCACAAUCGUUAUCUCUGAAUCUCUCCAACAGUGUUUGUGGUUCUAACCGAGCUCCAAUACUGGUAGCAAAUGAAUAUCAUCACUGGUCACAAAGAAUGGAGAGGUACUUAAGAAGACUGGGAAGAGAUGUAUGGCGAUCCGUGGAGGACGGACCACACGUUCCAGUUCUUACACCAGUCCAAACGGGCGGUGCUGCAACCAGACUAAGAGGAGGUCAACCAGCCAUAAGCCGUCCCACCAAGGAUGAUCUCGAUAAAAUGGAAAAUGAUGUUGUUGUUUUCUAUGAAAUUUCCUGUGGCGUUGCUCCUGACAACUUUGAUAUUAUCAAAAAAUGCAAGUCAGCAAAAGAGAUCUGGGAUGUACUCCAGAAUCUGUACGAAGGCUCAGAACAAGCACAAGACAAGAAGCUCACUAUAGCACUAAAUGAAUUCAACAACUUUAAAGCUAAUACUGGUGAAAGUUUGGAAGAUUCCUUCAAGAGGUUCAACCUGAUAGUCAUUAAGUUAUCCAAUACGGGUACCAUCUGCAGUAACCAUGAAACCAAUCUCCAGUUUCUUAAUGGUUUAGGAAGACAUUGGACUACGGCUAAGAUGAUAGUUCAAGGCGACAGGAAGAUUCACUCUCUGUCACUCUACAAGCUCUAUGGAGAGCUUCAAGCACAAGAAUCCAUUGUACUUACAGACUGUGCUGACUUCGGAGGACCGCUUGCUCUCAUAGUAGAAGCCCCACUGCAAUCACCCUACUCUUCAUCGUAUGACACUCCACCGCAGUCAAACAAAGCGGAUUCUGAGUAUGAUGAUGAAGAAGAGUUUCAGAAGGCUAUUGCUCUGGUUAGUCAACAGUUCAACCGUAUACCACCUCCUUCCUUCCGCAAGAAUCAACAGUUCAACAAACCUCCAUUCAACCGUAACUUCGGUUCUCAGAACAACCAUUCUCGAUAUCCCAAAGGCUCUCAGAACAAUCAACCAAAGGAGAUACCGCAGUAUCCUUAGAACGCUGACUCCGGUAAUCAAUCAGAAGACAAGACUGAUGUAGUGAUUUGUCACAAAUGCAAUAAAGAAAAUCACUUUGCAAAAGAUUGUAAGGCCAAUAUAGUCAAAGAUAGAGCAUUCUACUUUAGAAUGGCUCAAGAGCUGGAAGAAAAGGAAAAGACAAGGGCAUAUGUGGCCCAUAUCAAAUGAGACCAUCAAGUUUGGUCAUCCGGAGACGAAGAAGAGACCAUCAGCAGUGUUAAAGGAAAAGGGAAAAUCUGCAUGCUGGCCACUACGGAUGAUGAUGGGUCAACAAUAUUGUUCAAAAACUACUGCUACAUGGCAAAGGAUGGGACUCUAAGCAUCGUCGAACAGGUAAAACUCAAGAUCCAAACUUUAAAUUAUAGUAUGCAUGACUGUCAACCCUACAUAGAUGAUCUUAAUGACACUUGUGCUGCCAUCCUUACAGACUAUAACAAAGCCUUAGAUAAGAAGAACAUUGCAUCCCAAGAGAUAUUCCAUGUGAGAGGACGACUGGAUAACAAGAAACUUAAGAUCGCUAUAUUAGAGAAGGAUCUAGACUUAGAGAAAGAUGCUAUAAUGUUAAGUGAAACCCAAUUAGAGAUAGCUUUGAACCAGAGAGAUUUAGCUCAGAGAGAAAUUGUACGCUUAAAUCUCUUAAUUGAAAAAUUGUUUAAUGAAAGUGAGGCUAUUGAAAAUUUGGUAAAUAAUGGAACCGUGGACAAUACAUAUAAUUGGGGUUGGUCUAAUGGAUAUCCAACCGCAAUGGAUUCCUCGCCCCGGUUCAACAAAGACAGAUUGUAUGUCCCUCCUGAUAGAGAAUUUCAUUUUCCUGUCAAUGACAAGACUUUUCCCGAAGAUAUCAAAACUCACUUCGGUAGACUACGCAAUUUAAGAAAUAAUUGUGUCAUUGAGGAAAUUGUGCCUAAGGCUUCUGGUCACACAUGUGAUCAAAUUCCAAUCAGUGGCACCAUCCAUUCAAAUUAUCGGACUUCAUCCAUAAAUGAUGAAGAGAUUGUUGUUGAAGGCCCCAAAGUCUCAAAGGACUUUCCAUCUUUGUCCUCAGACCACAGUGUCUCACAUUGUAGUCAAAAGUCCCAGAAGUGUCCCACCGCAGUUCCAUCUAAAACCUACUCUGCGGUAGUUAAAUCAUCUCUACCAAAGUCAUCAGUUCAAGGAACCACAACCCUUCAGCCAAUAUUUCAUUAGUUACCUAUAGAAAAUUUUGAAGUAGGUCAAUGCUCUCAAAUUCCAGAAUCCUCAAGUUCUGAUGAUUCAAGCCCACGUUUUCAAAAUCAUUCGAAAAAUUCUAGGAAACCGCAGUUCAAUAACAAUGACUGCGGUUCACCAAAAUCUUUGGCAUAAAAGGCUUUCAAAGAAGAAAUUCGAUCUCGAGGCACAAACAGAUAAAGUCUUUCAAAAAAUAAAAAAACAUGUGAGAAUUCCAAAAUCUAAGAGUCCAGAAAAAUUUGUUUUCACAAACUACUUUUCAAAAAAUUCUUCUUUCUUGGAAACAAGCAAAAAGGGAAGUCCAGUUUCAAAAGUCAUUCCUGCUACUUCUGACACAACCCAAAAAGGUGUCAAACUUGUAAGAAACUACGUUUUUCAGGUCUAUUCCUCAAAUGACCCUAAUUGGAAAGGAAUUUUACCCACUCCAACACUUUUAAAAUCACAUCAAACUUUCAACAGAUGGAAGUGUAUCUUACCAAAUCCACUUAAAGGGACUCGAAUACUUACACGUGCUAAACCUGGUUCAAAACAAACUCUUCAGAAACCAAACAACAUGUAUGUCAGAAGUUACCCACCUCGGACCAGUACCAAGUCCAAUUCACUCUAUAGACCGUUGACCAAGCAAAAUGUCAGAUUCAAUGACAAGCUCUCUCUUUGUCAAUGUCAGUGUAGUUGUCAAAAGUUUUUAUCUCAUGUCAAAUCAAAUGAAAGUCAGAAACCUCGUACUUUUUCCAAAACUCACAACAAUUCAAAUCUGAACAAACACCCAGGACUAGGUCUAAAAGUUAACAAGAGACCUGUCCAUGCAACCUCGGACUAUGCUUCAUUCAGAAAUACAUCAAUUGUCCCUGGAUCCAAACUUGUUUGUAUGCCUAAACUAACCGAUUAAUUCUCAGGCUUUGUGUAAGGAGGAACAAGAAGAAGAAUGGUUAAUUGACAGUUCCUUAUCCUUGCACAUGAUCAGAAGGUUAGAGUACCUUCGGGAUUUCAGGCCUAUAUGCAACGGUGGAAAUGUCACGUUUGGCAACAAUGCAAACAGUGUCAUCCGAGGUUAUGGUGUUCUCACUACGGGAAAAUUUUCCAUUCAGGAGGUUGCUUAUGUAGAAAGCCUUAAACACAAUCUCAUCAAUGUUGGCCAACUACGUAAAGCAGGACAUCAUGUUGAAUUUGAUGAUCAAUUAUGUUACAUAAUGACGGGUGACCGAAGCACUUGCUUAAUCAUAUCUCGCUCCGAAGGCACGAUGUAUCCUCUAGAUGUUUCUCUCAUCAUUAGUAAACCACAACUGUGCUUCCUAUACAAAGCUGUAUCCAAAGUUAGUUGGCUAUGGCAUCGCAAGCUAGUUCAUCUCAGCUUUUGGUACAUCAACAACCUGGUCACUGGAGAACUAGUCCGCGGUCUCCCUAUUCUCAAAUUCAGCAAUGACACUCUCUGUCCAGCUUGUGAAUGCGGCAAACAAUCAAAAUCAAGUCACCCUCUGAUAAUGGACUCUUUUAUUACCGAACCAUUGGAACUGUUACACAUUGAUCUCUAUGGUCCCUCAACCGUAGCCAGUCUCCACCACAAAAAGUAUAUAGUAGUUGUUGUUGAUGAUUAUACAUGCUUCACAUGAGUCUUCUUUCUUAGACUUAAAUCAGAGACACCGCAAAUCUUCAUCAACUUCAUCAAAGAAAUCGAACUUCAGAUCAAGCUUCCAGUUAGACGCAUCCGUAAUGAUAAUGGAACCGAGUUCACUAAUCAUCUUCUCAACAAUUUCUUGGUUUCCAAAGGCAUCUCUCACAACUUCUCAGCACCCUUUACACCGUAACAAAAUGGUGUAGUAGAAAGAAGGAACCACAUACUAGUAGAAGCAGCUAGAUCCAUGCUUAACUUCACCCAACUUCCUCUCUACUUCUGGGCUGAAGCAGUAGCAACUGCAUGCUUUGUUCAAAACCGAAGUAUUGUGUGCAAACGCCUCAAUAAAACACCAUAUGAGGGUCUCAAUAACCGCAAACCAAAUGUUCGCUUCUUUAAUAUUUUUGGAUGUAGAUGCUUCGUGAUCAACAACAGAGACCAAAUCAACAAGUUUGCACCAAAGUCUGACGAAGGUGUCUUCAUUGGUUAUUCCACUAACAAGGUUGCAUAUCGUGUGCUCAUCAGACGUACAAGGUUGAUCGUUAAAAGCUUUGAUGUGAAAUUUGAUGAUUCUCUCAUCCUCAAUGCCCCUCCGUCCACCGAAACCUCUGCAAUCAUGGAAUGUGACAUUCCUGCCUCUUGGGACCUUUAAAUCUAGUUGAAGUCAAUUAUGGUGAUCUUUUUGAUCCUGUUGAAACGGCAAAACUAUCCGAAGUUCUAGUGUCACCUGCAGCUCAACAACAACAUGCUAAUGUAUCUGGACCAUCUCUAUCGGAAGUAGUAUGUCUCAAUACUUCCACCUCUCCGGUUGAAGGGGAAAGCUCUACUCUGGACCUAGUCGCAACCAUUAAAGUUCCAGUACUUGAUGUUGCUCAAAUUCCUGCCCGCAGAGAAGCAUUACCAUCCAACACAUCUUUGGAUUCGGAUGAUGAAUUCAUAGAGAAUAUUGACACUAGAACCGAUCCAAGGAUUGUCACUCUCCCAUCUGCAGUCCAGGGGGAACCUUCUCAGGUUUCAGAGGAACUCCCAUCUGCAAUCCAGGGGGAACCUCAACCUCUCCCACUUACUCAAGAAAAUUAUGCUCCACUACAUCAAGAUGAUNAGGGGGAACUGCCAUCUCCAACCGCAGAUUCCUCUAACAUCCAAGAUAUCCCUUCUACCGCAGCUGCUAAUCAUCUGCUGCCACGUCUUCAUGUAUGGACGAAAGACCACCCACCAGGUCAAAUUAUUGGCAACCCAUCCACAGGUAUCCAGACUCGGUCUUCCAAGGACUUAUCUGAUCACUGCCACUAUGCAGCAUUUAUGUCCUCGGUAGAACCCAAAACAAUCAAAGAAGCAUUGCUUGAACCGGACUGGAUAGCCGCAAUGCAAGAAGAACUAGAAGAAUUUGAAAGAAACAAAGUGUGGCAACUUGCUCCCCUCCCACAAGGUCAUACUAUUUUUGGUACAAGAUGGGUUUUCAAGAACAAGGUAGAUGAAUCUGGCGCAGUAAUCAGAAACAAGGGAAGACUUAUUGCCAAGGGGUAUAGUCAACUGGAAGGUAUUGACUACGAUGAAAUGUAUGCUCCGGUAGCACACAUGGAAUCCAUCCGGAUCUUUCUAGCAUACGCAUCUCACAAAAAAGUUAAGGUACACAAAAUGGACGUUAAAAGUGUCUUUCUCAAUGGGGAACUAAAAGAAGAGGUUUAUCUUCAGCAACCUCCAAGAUUUGAAAAUGCUGAAUUUCCAGACUACUGCUACAAGCUUGAAAAAGCAGUCUAUGGUUUGAAACAAGCUCCAAGAGCUUGGUAUGAGACACUCUCUGAAUUCCUUGUCUCAUACGGGUACAAGAGAGGAGUGAUUGAUCCUACACUAUUUAGAAAAGCAAAUGGUGACCACCUUAUGAUGGUACAAAUAUAUGUGGAUGAUAUUAUCUUCGGGUCAUUUGAUCAAGGGUUGGUGGAUGAAUUUGCUAAGCUCAUGACCAAGAAGUUCAAAAUGAGCAUGAAUAGAGAAAUUAACUUCUUUCUAGGCCUUCAAGUAAAACAAGUAUCGCAAGGAAUAUUUAUUCAUUAAGAGAAAUACACCGCUGAACUUCUGAACAAAUACUCAAUGGACAACUGUUCUUCUGCUAAGGUCUCUAUGGCCUUCGGUUAUAAGAUCUCUGUUGAUCCCUCUGGUGAAUCGGUGGAUCACAAGACUUAAAGAGGUAUCAUUGGUUCGCUGAUGUAUCUCACCGCAAGCAGACCUGACAUUGUCUUCGCAACUGGUGUGUGUGCAAGGUACCAGGCUGAUCCAAAAGUGUCGCACAUGACCGCAACCAAACAAAUCCUUCGGUACCUGAAAGCAAGAAAAUCUCUUGGUCUAUCGUAUCCCGCAGGCAAUGACUUUCAGCCUACAAGCCCUCACAGAUGCUGAUCAUGCCGGAUGCAAGCUCGAUCGAAAAAAUACAUCUGGUGGAUGCCAAUUCUUAGGAGGAAGACUUGUCAGCUGGUCUUCAACAAAACAAACUUGUGUAUCUUUAUCUACUGCAGAAGCCGAGUAUGUGGCCACAACCAGCUGCUGUUCCCAAGUUCUUUGGAUGAAGACACAAUUGCUAGACUAUGGGUACAGAAUGUUGCGGAUACCAAUUUACUGUGACUUUGAAAGUGCUAUAGCAAUCUCUCAUAAUCCUAUUCAGCACUCCAAGACAAAACAUAUUGAGUUACGGUAUCAUUUCAUCAAAGAACAUAUUCUGAAAGGUAAUAUUGAACUCAUCUUUGUUCCUACUCAUGAAGAGAUUGCUGAUGUCUUUACAAAAGCACUUGACUCUACAAAACUUAAUGCAUUCUUACAAAUGUUAGGAAUGAUGAAUCCAAACCCGCAAUUCUUUCUGAAGUGUUAGCUACCGCAGACCAUCAUUGGUCUCCAUUGCAGUUCUAACCGAGAAUUACAUAUGAUAGAUGGUUUUGGUCCCGCAGUCUAGGUACCGCAACCAUAUGUCAUACGUAUCUCUCAUGGGUCCUAAUGGUUUGCUAUUACUAAUUUUUGUACAAGUUUUUUCCUCAGUUUCUCGCUACCAUCUUUCCUUUGUACAUCCGCGAUGACGACUCUUAACUGCAAAACUUUUUCAUCCACAAUAAAGAUUCUCAACCGCAAUGACGCCUCCAUCUGCGACCAUCUUAGUAUCUUCCAACAGUUUCAUCAACUCUCUAAUCUUUGUGUGCUAUUUAACGAUCCUUCAGUUGUAACACCCAAAGUAUGGAAGGCCAAGAAAGGAAAGAAAACCCUAAUUUUAAGGGGCGACUCAGCGAGUCCAAGGAGGAACUCGGCGAGUCCGAGCAGGACAGGGUCGAGGAGUAAGUGACCGACUCGGCGAGUCGGCCAAGGAGACUCGGCGAGUCUGGUCUGUGCGAGGAAAACCCUAAAUUCGGGACUUGGAGCCUAUUUAAGCGCCUCAUUCUCUUCCCUAGGGUUCCUUUACUGCCUCUCUAACCCAGAACACCAAACCCUACCCGCCAUAUCCAUUGAUUGAGCCAAUUGUUGCCUUGAAGAGUGCAUUAAAGCUUGGAGAAGGAAGCAGGAUCUUGGAGGUGCAAGAAGGGGCUAUAGAUCUGGGAUUGGGAAGAUAUUUUUGAGCAUUUGGAGGCAAUAAACUAGUUCUUGGACUCUUUUGCACCUAGAUCUAUGUGUGAGUUUUGGGUCUUUUUAGCCAUAAUGGUAUCUAUUUGAGUUAGAAGCUAGAUCUGAAGUUGCAACUUCGGAUCUAAACAUAUUAUGGUCUUGAGAAGCAUAAAGUAUCUGCCCUUGAGUUGAUUAUGGAGCCUCUUUGCCUUAAACCCUAUUUUAUGGUGUAUUUUGCCUAGAUCUCCUUCUCUACACGUAAAGUUUGCAGCUUUACGUGAGGAAUAGGUUGGGAAGGGGUAGAUCUACAGUUUGGAGUCCAUGCAUGACUCAAAAGUCCUCUGCAUGUAUGGAGAUCUGAAUGGACUCGGCGAGUCCUUUGAGUGGACUCGGCGAGUAGCAUGAAGAUUUGGAGNNNNNNNNNNNNNNNNNNNNNNNNNNNNNNNNNNNNNNNNNNNNNNNNNNNNNNNNNNNNNNNNGAGUCCAUGCAUGACUCAAAAGUCCUCUGCAUGUAUGAAGAUCUAAAUGAACUCGGAGAGUCCUUGGAGUGGACUCGGCGAGUAGCAUGAAGAUUUGGAGGAACUUGACGAGUGGGAUGAACAGCUCGUCGAGUCGGAUGAAGUUGGACAGGUCAGGACUUGGAAAUCGGUAGACUCGGCGAGUCAUGGACUGACUCAGGGAGUCGAGUCACGAAUGGAAGGACUCUGAACAUAUGAACUCGGCGAGUCAGUAGGGUGACUCGGCGAGUAGGGUUAACCUGGAAGGUUGGCUUUAACCAGGACUUUGACUUUGACCAGAGUUGACUUGGUUGUUUUUCGGGCGUCAGUUAGACUUAGUGUUGCAUUGAUAUUGGUAGCUCGGAGAGCGAGUGGAGCAGAAGUUCAGAGAGUUUCUGGGCAGCAGCUAGUGGGAUAAUCAGCAAGUUCAGCCAGUGCAGGUGAGUUUCCCUUUAUCUGAAUGCGUCUAAGGCCACAAUGUCGGCCCAUGUAAUUAUGAGUAGAAGACCCGGGGGUUAGCCCUAAGCGCAAUAUGCUAGUAUGAUAUUCAGGACGAGGUCCAAUGAUAGCGGGCGGGUACCUAAGGAAUGGUUUAUGUGAUAGUUUAUACUUGUUAUCUGUGUGAUACUUGUAUGUGCCUGGUAAGGAGGUGAGUGUGGGCGAGGUCCCGUAACUCACCAAUAGCAGAGUAUGGAUGGUGUUCCACAUCUCAUUAGCAGUAGAUCAGGGGCGAGGCCCAAGUUAGGGAAGGAGUGAGAGUGGGUUGGGCCCGUACCUCACUAUCAGCAGGAGUAUGGACGGGGUUCCAUGACUCAUCAGUAGCAGGACAAGGGCGAGGCCCAGAGACAGGCGAGGCCUUAGGACAAGAUUCGUUAGUAUGUGUUUAGCUUAUGUGAUGUGACAUGUUUAUGUGCUAUUAUAUGUUAGCGGGCGAGGCCCUGUGACAAGCGAGGCCUAAGUGAAACAGAUAUGUAUCCGAGCGAGGCUCGAAGCCAAGCGGGGCCUGGAGCGGUGGGGCCGUUGUAGUGGGCGAGGCCCAAGGUAGGGGGCGAGGUCCAGGUUAGCGGGCAUGGCCCAGUGUGUGUAGUAUAUGGUUGUACAUGGUAUGUGGUAAGGUGGGGAAACUCACUAAGUUUCAUGCUUACGCUUUUCAGUUUUGGUUUCAGGUGCUUCCGGUAGCGGAGGGAAGAGCUCGGGGUGAUCGCAUGGCACACACACACCAUAGAUUAGACAGCCUGGGAAUGUUUACUCUGAUAACGAACAUGUAUUUUGGAAAUUAAUACUUUUUUUAUGUUUUGGAAUGAUGAAUUUGCUUAAAGAAUUGUUUUAUUAAAAUAAUUUUUUAGUCUUGAGUUUUGGGACGUUACAAGUUGGUAUCAGAGCCUUGGUUUGAGGGAUUCGGGCAUACUCUCGGGUGUGCCUGAACUCAAACUAAGGGGUCGGAUAUAAAGUUUUCAAAAAUGACAAGACAGUUUUGUAAAAGAAUUUUGAGACGAAAAAUAGUUUUAGAAAAGCAAAAAGAAUUCAGAAACAAAAGAACUUUGAAAAGAGAAAAGAGGUGUGCUGCAUGUAAUCAACCGAGCUCAAGUAAGUACCCCAAAAUACCCAUACAAGUUUAUGUUAUGAUUAUCAGUUAAUAGAAUUGUUGGAUAAGGUGUCUAAGUCCAUAACUAUUUCGGGCUUGUAUUUGACCCGACCCGGCAUGGUCCAUUUGGGUUGCAUGGCACCAUGCAAUUGGUUAGACUAAAUGAGAGGAAUAACACUUGGAGAUUAUUAAUAUAUUAUAAGUUCUAAUAUAUUAAUAAUAUUAUUUGAUUAGUUUGAUCAAGAAUUAAUUUGGAAUUAAUUAAGUGAUCAAAGGAUAACUAAUUAAAUAUAUGGGUUGAUUAUGUAAAUCAUCCAUAUCUUGUAUAGUGGGCUAAGAGGCUCCAUGGAUUAUCAAGUUGGGUUCUACCCAUAGGAUGCUCCAUGGAUGCUCCAUGGGAGUUACAAACCCAUGGGUCAUGGAAAUGAAGAGUCAUGACACAUUAGGGUUUACAUGGUGUAACCCUAGAUGUGCCAACACUAUAUAAGAGUCCCAUUCUCCACAAAAUUGGCUACACAAGUUGAACACUAAGAAACUAGAGGGCUUGGCCGAUUUUGAGAAGUGUGUGUUAUCUCAAGAGUCUUUCCAAGAGCAUUUGGUGUUGUGUGAAGCAUUUGAGGCAUCACACUUGGGGUGCUAGGCUCACAAGGUUUCAAGGAACACAAGCAACAACAAGGUAAGUUAUUCUAUCUAUGAUUCAAGUUAAAAUUGUUCCCCAUGUAUGCUAGAUAGGAAUAUAACCUUGGAAUUCAACUUUGCAUGAUAAUUAGACAAACAUAGAUCCAAGGUUAUUAGGGUUGCAUGUACACUUAGGAAGUGUUAGAAUGCUCAAAACCCAUCAGUGGUAUCAGAGCCUAGGCUUGUUUGUUUGUUAUUUGUGCUUAAAAGUUGAAGAAAGUCGAAAAUUCUGCUGUCUGACUGAUGGACUCGGCGAGUCCAUGGGGAGGACUCGUCGAGUUCAUGUGUAUCUUCAACCUACUCGGCGAGUAGGUUUAUGCACUCGGCGAGUAGGGUCGACAGAGUGCAGAAUUUCGACUUGAGUUGCUGGAAAUGGAUUAGAAUCAUUACCCUAAAAUGUUUUGGUACUUGAAAACUUAUUUUAGAAGGUGUAAUGUCUUUUCUAACUCAUUUACAACAACUAGUUAUCAAAAUUACAAAGAUUAAAUGUGAUUUUGAUUCUUGAAAGUGUUCAUAUUCAUAUUCUUGUUCUUAUGAUGUUUAGAUGAUCAUAGGAAUUAUUUGUAACCUAUGUGGUAGAUUAAUUCAUGAUCAUAAUGUGUUUUAAUGGAGUCCAUAACUUGUCCUCAAGUUAUGGAAAACCAAAAGUCUCUUGGAUUAAAAACCAUUAAAAGAACACAAGAGUUAGGAAAAAUGAAAAGUCCUCAUUUUAUUACUCUAUUAAACUCAUAAGUUACAAGAAAUGAAAAGUUUUGAAAGUUUACAAAACUUGCCCUCAAGUUUUGGAACAAGUAAAGUUAAGUUAAAACUUUAGUUCCAACCCCUAGAAUUUUAAAAGUUAAAAUUCAACCCUUAUACUUAUAUUAUUAUGAUUUAAUAAUUAUAUAUAUAUGUAUAAGAACAAAGUCGUCUUACCGCUAGUACGCCUCAUUCACGAAGCCGGUCUAUAAGGUGGGUAUAAGGUUGUUGCCUAUAAAAUGGUGACUUAAUGGGUGUCCACUCUCACCCACCGCUUGCUUGAUCGGUGGAGGGUCGUUAGCCGAACGGGUAAGACAAGGACUUAUUAAUUCUCAUUCAAAGUAUGAUGAAUAUUAUAAAGUAACUAAAUGUUUUAUUAAAUUCCCAAUCUUAGUUACUUUAGGAAAAAUGUGAAUAAGGUGCUAUUCCAUGAAAUUACACUUUACACUUUGAUUAAGUCGUUGGUGGAGCGUGUGUGGUUAACCGGCACACUAACUUGGACUUAACAAGGUAGGUAAAGGGUGACUUAGGGUUUAUUAUAGUAUCGAUGGAGCGUGUGUGGUUAACCGGCACAUCGAUUGAGUGAUAAACUUUAAGGGUACCAAGUGAUUUGCAUGGUUACUUCACACCUCGUUUUGUGAUCCUCGGUAUCCCAGUCACAAAACUUGGAGGGCACACUCGAGAUUGAAACAUGCCUUUGAAAAGUUCAUUGAAUCUCAAAGAAUCUAGGAAUUUCUAAGAACCAUUCAAAAACCUAAUACUAAAAUAUUGCGGUUUUCGUGGUGGAAAUUGGUGAAUCGUCAUUCACCUACCUUUCAAAUAUGAUAUAGCUUAGAUUACGGCAUACCUCUUCUAAGUUAUAUUAUAUUGUGAUUGGAUCCUAGCCUUAAUAUUACAUUUGGGUGUUUUAUUAAGGACUCUCUUAUAUCUAAACUAAUCUUGUCCUCUUUCCUUCAGAUGUCUUUCAACAAUGCUUCUGGCUCUAAUCCUAAUGGCUCCUUUACCCUUAUGAACUUGUGUGGGAAAGUCACCUUUGAUGGAUCCAACUUCAAUGAGUGGAUCAGAAACAUCAGGAUGAUUACCCGCUACGAGGACAAAGAAUAUGUCCUUGACAAGGAGCUUAAGGAGAUUGAUGAGUCCACUGCAACUCCUCAGGAGAUCGCUGAAUUUCGGGCACAUGAAAGGGAUGCUACGAAAGUGGCUUGCAUCAUGAUGGCCACGAUGACAGCGGAACUCCAAAAGUCUUAUGAGGAUUUCUACCCUUAUGACAUGCACCAAGAUUUGAUGGAAAGAUACCAUCAAAGUGCAAGACAAGAGAGGUAUGAAAUCAUCUGCUCCAUGAUAACAACCAUGAUGAAGGACGGGGAAUCCGUCACGAGCCACAUGCAGAAAAUGCAAAGGUAUGUGGAUCGUUUGCUGAAGCUUAAUGUGAACUUCCCGGAGGAUCUUGCAAUAGAUAUUAUUUUGCAUUCCUUACCAUCGUGCUAUGAUCAAUUCCGCAUGACAUAUCACAUGAACAAGGAAGAAGUCACCCUCAGCAAACUUCAGGGACUUCUCAAGACCGCAGAAACAGGUCUUAAGGGGAAGUCGGUUGCUAUCACUCCUACUCAAAACUCUACUCCGGUUUUGGCAAUCGGGAAAAGUCGAGGGAGGAAGAGAAAGAGCUCUUCUAAGGGUACCAAGGCUCGGACCCUUGAUGGCUCUUCUUCAAGUGGAACCAAGAAAGGUUUCGUUACUCCUUCUUCU